GCGGAAGUGGCGGAACUGGCAGACGCGCUGGAUUUAGGUUCCAGUGGGUAACACCGUGGGGGUUCAAGUCCCUUCUUCCGCACCA
rnacentral:tRNA from 1 species